rnacentral:rRNA from 1 species
AGAGUUUGAUCCUGGCUCAGAUUGAACGCUGGCGGCAUGCCUAACACAUGCAAGUCGAACGGAAACGAUGCUAGCUUGCUAGCAGGCGUCGAGUGGCGGACGGGUGAGUAAUGUAUAGGAACUUGCCUAGUAGUGGGGGACAACGUGUGGAAACGCACGCUAAUACCGCAUAAUCUCUACGGAGGAAAGCGGGGGCUCUUCGGACCUCGUGCUAUUAGAUAGGCCUAUAUAGGAUUAGCUAGUUGGUAAGGUAAUGGCUUACCAAGGCGACGAUCCUUAGCUGGUUUGAGAGAAUAAUCAGCCACACUGGGACUGAGACACGGCCCAGACUCCUACGGGAGGCAGCAGUGGGGAAUAUUGCACAAUGGAGGAAACUCUGAUGCAGCAAUGCCGCGUGUGUGAAGAAGGCCUUCGGGUUGUAAAGCACUUUCAGACGUGAGGAAAAGUUGAUAGUUAAUAACUAUCAGCCCUGACGUUAACGUCAGAAGAAGCACCGGCUAACUCCGUGCCAGCAGCCGCGGUAAUACGGAGGGUGCAAGCGUUAAUCGGAAUUACUGGGCGUAAAGCGCGCGUAGGCGGAUAAUUAAGUCAGAUGUGAAAUCCCUGGGCUCAACCUAGGAACUGCAUUUGAUACUGGUUAUCUAGAGUAUGGUAGAGGUGAGUGGAAUUUCAGGUGUAGCGGUGAAAUGCGUAGAGAUCUGAAGGAACAUCAGUGGCGAAGGCGACUCACUGGGCCAUUACUGACGCUGAGGUGCGAAAGCGUGGGUAGCAAACAGGAUUAGAUACCCUGGUAGUCCACGCCCUAAACGAUGUCAACUAGGUGUAUGGGAGUUUAACUCUUGUGUAUCGAAGCUAACGCGAUAAGUUGACCGCCUGGGGAGUACGGUCGCAAGACUAAAACUCAAUGAAUUGAC